AGUGAACGCUGGCGGCAGGCUUAACACAUGCAAGUCGAACGCACCGCAAGGUGAGUGGCAGACGGGUGAGUAACGCGUGGGAACCUUCCCUUUGGUUCAGGAUAGCUCCGGGAAACUGGAAUUAAUACUGGAUAAGAUCUACGGAUGAAAGAUUUAUCGCCGAAGGAUGGGCCCGCGUAAGAUUAGCUAGUUGGUGAGGUAAUGGCUCACCAAGGCAAUGACCUUUAGCUGGUCUGAGAGGAUGAUCAGCCACACUGGAACUGAGACACGGUCCAGACUCCUACGGGAGGCAGCAGUGAGGAAUACUGGACAAUGGGCGCAAGCCUGAUCCAGCCAUGCCGCGUGAGUGAUGAAGGCCUUAGGGUUGUAAAACUCUUUUAGUAAGGAAAAUAAUGAUGGUACCUACAGAAAAAGCUCCGGCUAACUUCGUGCCAGCAGCCGCCGUAA
rnacentral:rRNA from 1 species